GGCUCCAUAGCUCAGUGGUUAGAGCACUGGUCUUGUAAACCAGGAUGAUGGUGAGUUUGUUCCUCACUGGAGCCU